GUGGCAGGACGUGGUUGAGAGGAAGAGGAAGCUCCAGUAGCUCUACGAUGGAGGAAGUUUUGAGAAAAUGAAACUUUAAGAAGGUGAAGAGAAAUGGAGAAAAUUUGAGCUCUAGAUUUGAUUUCAGCAGUAUUUGGGUGCAAAGGAGUCUCUAAUAAUCGAUUAUGGGGGGCUAUUUAUAAGAAAAAUGGAAAAACUAGCCGUUUAUGGCCGUUUAUAGCCGUUAUGGGACGCUCCAACGAUUCUAUUUUUGAAACUGUCAGCGUGAUAAUCGACUAUGGCUCGUGAUAAUCGAUUAUCUGCUCAAUAAUCGCUGCCCAGAAAUUGCAUGAUAAUCGAUUAUGCCUGAUGAUAAUCGAUUAUCUGCUCAAAAUUUUCCAGAUUUGAGUUUUAAGGUUGAAUAAUCGAUUAUUGCCUGAUGAUAAUCGAUUAUGAAGUGUUAAGUUUACGAAAAUGCAAAAAUUUUCAUAGGUUUUGAUCCUAAGACAUGUCUAAUACUCCUAACUCUCUUCUAAGC
rnacentral:lncRNA from 1 species